rnacentral:rRNA from 1 species
UACCGGUUGUGCCGCCAGGUGCACCGCCGGGUAUCUGAGUCUGGUAAGGAUAAGCGCUGAAAGCAUCUAAGUGCGAAGCCAUCCACGAGAUGAGAGCUCCACAGAGGGCCGUUGUAGACGACGACGUUGAUAGGGCGCAGGUGUAAAGGCGGCGACGCCAAAGCCGAGCGCUACUAAUUGCCCGAGACUUUCCUUA